GCAGCAGCCGCGGGAAUACGAAGGGUGCAAGCGUUACUCGGAAUUACUGGGCGUAAAGCGUGCGUAGGUGGUGGUUUAAGUCCGUUGUGAAAGCCCUGGGCUCAACCUGGGAAUUGCAGUGGAUACUGGGUCACUAGAGUGUGGUAGAGGAUAGUGGAAUUUCCGGUGUAGCAGUGAAAUGCGUAGAGAUCGGAAGGAACAUCUGUGGCGAAGGCGACUAUCUGGGCCAACACUGACACUGAGGCACGAAAGCGUGGGGAGCAAACAGGACUAGAUACCCCUGUAGUCCCUGUCUCUUAUAC
rnacentral:rRNA from 1 species